rnacentral:rRNA from 1 species
UAGGGAAUCUUCGGCAAUGGGGGCAACCCUGACCGAGCAACGCCGCGUGAGUGAAGAAGGUUUUCGGAUCGUAAAGCUCUGUUGUAAGAGAAGAACGUGUGUGAGAGUGGAAAGUUCACACAGUGACGGUAACUUACCAGAAAGGGACGGCUAACUACGUGCCAGCAGCCGCGGUAAUACGUAGGUCCCGAGCGUUGUCCGGAUUUAUUGGGCGUAAAGCGAGCGCAGGCGGUUGAAUAAGUCUGAAGUUAAAGGCAGUGGCUUAACCAUUGUUCGCUUUGGAAACUGUUAAACUUGAGUGCAGAAGGGGAGAGUGGAAUUCCAUGUGUAGCGGUGAAAUGCGUAGAUAUAUGGAGGAACACCGGUGGCGAAAGCGGCUCUCUGGUCUGUAACUGACGCUGAGGCUCGAAAGCGUAGGGAGCAAACAGG